GAUGAAGAACGUAGCGAAAUGCGAUAAGUAACGUGAAUUGCAGAAUUCAGUGAAUCAUCGAAUCUUUGAACGCACAUUGCGCCCCUCGGUAUUCCGAGGGGCAUGCCUGUUCGAGCGUCAUUAUAACCCUUCAAGCUCAGCUUGGUGUUGGGGCCUGCUGUAACUGGUAGCCCUUAAAAUCAGUGGCAGUGCUAUUAGGCUCUAAGCGUAGUAAUUCUUCUCGCUAUAGUGUGUAGUGAGCGCUUGCCAGAACCCCAAACUUUUAUAUGAUUGACCUCGGAUCAGGUAGGGAUACCCGCUGAACUUAAGCAUAUCAAUAAGCGGAGGA
rnacentral:misc_RNA from 1 species